rnacentral:rRNA from 1 species
CGACUGCGACCCCAGGUCAG